AUCCUGUUGUAUCACAAAGAGAUCAGGACCAUAAUGCAUAUUUGUAAGUAUACCUUUGAACUAUACUUUUUAACAUCUGCAUGUACCUUCACUGGACCCUGAACCAGCUGCCUUUCAGGGUUCCUCUUGGCCUGGAGGUUGUUCCCUUUUUUCUCUUCUCUGCAGUAUUUAAUAACUGACUGGUGCCAAGAUUCCUCAUCAGAUCGUUGUUGCCUACGGUGGUAAUCAGGCCUCUGCUGUAGAACCAGUUUUCCUUGUGUGCAUUCAGUCUGUAAUCUUGUUCUCUUGUCUGUUUCCCGUAAACAUGUCUGGAGAAUGACGGCUGAAGACAGAUUCCCCUGUUUCUCCCAACCCGGAAGAUUUCAAGUAUCUUUCUGCCACGCUCACCUGACUGACAUAACUCAGACCAGUCGAGCAGUUGGCGGCUGAAGUUGGCUGAAAUGCUCUUUCUCUGAAGAACUCGCCUGUGAUUCUGAGCUGGUCUGCUCCUGCGGAAAGUGGAGUUGUGUUCUCAAUUACCUGAGACUCAUCUCCCAGUCCACCUUCCACCACUUCCACGUCGCCUCCGGCACCUUCUCUGGAAAAAAAGACCGUUCCCACUCAGUGAACUGAUAAUCACCUGUGAUUCCCCCUGCUGCAGAUACCUCUCCAUUAACUCGAGCUUCUGCACAAUAAACCUUUCAAAACUGC